GGAUAUCUGGUCUCGUUUGUCAUAACUGACAUCUUCUUGCCUCGCCGACCAUUCUGUUAUAUCACCACCCAUAUUCGGAGUCU
rnacentral:snoRNA from 2 species